rnacentral:rRNA from 1 species
AUGAAGACGGAGUGGGACACAGCCGACAGAGGAGUGCAUGUCGUCAUCGGUGCCGAGGAAGUCAAGGACCUCAUCCCCACCAACCGUUGGCUGAAGCGGGAUGGUGGACACCAUGAGCGUGUCGCUGGGAGCUCACAGGAGGCUGAGGAUCGGCCACGAGGAGGGUGCACGAGAGCCGGUCAGGUUUUACGUCUAGAUCAAGGACAAGGGGAACAUCUCCAUGUUGUUCAUCCCGCCUACCUUCAGGCCAGUGAUGAAGAAAUGGCUGUUCGUCGCCCCUCCUCAUGUCGGCAAUCUCUCUGCCAACAAGUGGUGUGA